UACGUAGGGUGCGAGCGUUAAUCGGAAUUACUGGGCGUAAAGCGUGCGCAGGCGGUCGUUCAAGUCGCGUGUGAAAGCCCCCGGCUCAACUGGGGAGGGUCACGCGAUACUGAUCGACUGGAAGGCAGGAGAGGGUAGUGGAAUUCCCGGUGUAGUGGUGAAAUGCGUAGAUAUCGGGAGGAACACCAGUGGCGAAGGCGACUACCUGGCCUGUUCUUGACGCUGAGGCGCGAAAGCUAGGGGAGCAAACGGG
rnacentral:rRNA from 1 species